CUACCCAAAAGUCCGGGAUAACCCCGGGAAACUGGGGAUAAUACCGGAUAGAUCAAACUUGCUGGAAGGCUGUUUGGUUGAAACUUCCGGGGCUUUUGGAUGGGUCUGCGGCUGAUUAGGUUGUUGCCGGUGUAACGUACCGUCAAGCCUGUAAUCAGUACGGGUUGUGGGAGCAAGAGCCCGGAGAUGGAUUCUGAGACACGAAUCCAGGCCCUACGGGGCGCAGCAGGCGCGAAAACUCUACAAUGCAGGCAACUGCGAUAGGGGAACAUCGAGUGAUCCUCAUAUUGGGGGUCUGUCCACCCGUCUAAAAAACGGGUGUUAGCAAGGGCCGGGCAAGACCGGUGCCAGCCGCCGCGGUAAUACCGGCGGCUCGAGUGGUGGCCGAUAUUAUUGAGUCUAAAGGGUCCGUAGCCGGCUUUGCAAGUCUCUCGGGAAAUCCAGCGGCUUAACCGUUGGUCGUCCGGGGGGUACUACAUUGCUUGGGACUGGGAGAGGUAGGAGGUACUCAGGGGGUAGGAGUGAAAUCCUGUAAUCCUCUGGGGACCACCGGUGGCGAAGGCGUCCUACCAGAACAGGUCCGACGGUGAGGGACGAAAGCUAGGGGCACGAACCGGAUUAGAUACCCGGGUAGUCCUAGCCGUAAACGAUGCUCGCUAGGUGUCACAACAGUCGUGAACUGUUGUGGUGCCGUAGGGAAGCCGUGAAGCGAGCCACUUGGGAAGUACGACCGCAAGGUGAA
rnacentral:rRNA from 1 species